rnacentral:lncRNA from 1 species
ACAGGACCCUCUAUGGCUGAAAGACUCUAAAGUUCUUAGUUCUUAGCUGUGACAGGACAGAGAACCGACAUGUCCCACCUGCAGCCACACCCAUCCCCUUAUUAUUACUAGAUCUUAUAAAAGCUGACUUGAAGAGGAAAAAAGGCCAAAAGACUUCUUCUCCCCACCCAGUGCUAUGGACUCUGAUCGCCCAACCAGAGCAAACCCAGAAGGACAACUCUCCAAGCCUUUCAAUCACUCCCACUAACCCGUAGUGUGGACACACUAUUGUGAGGCCUACUACGGAUGUACUGCUGAUGACCUUUUGAAGGCCAGUGGACCUGCUCUGCAGACCCAGGCUUCUCUCCCAUGGAGCAUCCCAAGUCUGUCCUUACUGGAAGAAGCAGGAGCCCUGUUUGGCUGUACCCCAAGCUGCUUUCUCUGGACCAAUGCUGUCAGUGAUAGAGCAAACAAGCCAAACAGCAGCUUGAAAGAUGCUUUCUACUUGGACAUACCCUCUUGCUACAGGGAACCCUUCCACCAUCACGUGAAGAAGCCUGGUCUAGCCUGCUGGAGGAUGAGAGAUCACAU